ACCAAAAAAUUUCAAAAAUCUCAAAAAUGCUCCAAACUUCAUGAAACUUCACAGUAACGAUGAGCAACAUUGGAAGAUGUGGAAUUUGGCGUUGGAAUUUCCAAAAUAUCUGUUGUUACCAUGGAAACAAUGCAAAAAGGUCAAAACUUUGAAUUUUCACAGAACAUUCCAGAACAUCAAUGUUUAAAUUUAUUUCUAGAGACAUUAAAUGGUAUAUGAUUAUGGAGGGAAAAAAUUGCAGCGGGGGUUUGACUUUGGAAUAUUCAAAAUGGCCGCCGUUACCAUGGAAACAGCAAAAAUACAAAAAACUUCAAAAUGCUUCAAAUUUAUUGAAACUUAUAACAAAUGUUGCUCAGCUAAUGUAGACUUGACUUUUGAGUUUGGAAUUUCCAAAAUGGCCGCCAUUACCAUGGCUACCGCUCACCUGGCAAUAGGGGAAGGGUGCCAUCCGCUAUUGCUUGCAAUCGCAAAUCUAGUUAUGGCACCCUCAACGGAGUUGGGGUGACGUAUUGUUAUUCUACGUUUCUUUUUUUUCUUAUUAUUAUUUUUCUUGCAACACAUUUUGUCCAGGCGAUUUCUCGAAAUCCAAAACACCAAAGUUGAUGGAACUUUACUAUAAUAAGGACCCACAUGUGCAGAGUUGCAGGAAGCAUGGAAUGGUUCAAGAUGGCUGCCGUUACCAUGGAAACGAAACAAAUGUGAAAAAAUCCAGUUUUUUGUUUUGGUGAACUGUUUGGAUAUGCUUUAACUCAGAAUCAUUAUAUUUUGAAUACAAUGUAGGUGCCCACUAUAUACAGGUGUUGGAUGAUUUUGGCACUCAUUGGAACUACUAUGUUGCCAUGGAAACUACACCAAAAAUUUCAAAAAUAUCAAAAUGCUCCAAACUUCAUGAAACUUCACAGUAACGAUGAGCAACAUUGGAAGAUGUGGAAUUUGGCGUUGGAAUUUCCAAAAUAUCUGUUGUUACCAUGGAAACAAUGCAAAAAGGUCAAAACUUUGAAUUUUCACAGAACAUUCCAGAACAUCAAUGUUAAAUUUAUUCUAGAGACAUUAAAUGGUAUAUGAUUAUGGAGGGCAAAAAAUUGCAGCGGGGGUUUGACUUUGGAAUAUUCAAAAUGGCCGCCGUUACCAUGGAAACAGCAAAAAUUUGAAAAACUUCAAAAUGCUUUAAAUUUAAUGAAACUUAUAACAAAUGUUGCCUAGCUUAUGUAGACUUGACUUUUGAGUUUGGAAUUUUUCAAAAUGGCCGCC
rnacentral:lncRNA from 1 species